UCACUUAUUUUUUGUAAAACACAAACAAUCAACAACAAAGAACUCAUCAUACAAAUCCAUCCUCUCUUCAAUUUCACAGCAAUACUCCUCUUCAUCAAAAACCCUCACUUCAAUCCCAGCUUCAUAACAACAACCCAUUCCGCAUACUCCCUUAAUAUCCCAUUCACCCCCCUUCAUCUGGCCCUUAAAUAUCCGCAUUACCGCUCCUCCACCGUUCUCGUCUUCAUCACCGGUUCACAAUAUCCACAACCACACCAUCAACCAUCGUUGAUCAUUGUGCUCCAACUCCUCCGUCUUUCUCAGCUAUUUUCUGCAGAUAUCAUCCAUCUCAACUCACCGCAAUUUUCCGUCAAGCAGUUCAUUCGACACAUUGAAGCUACCUUACCGCAACAAUCAUCAUCCUCAUUGCUGAUUCUGCCUUCCAGAUCCGCGCCAUGCGAUUUGUCUCCAAUUUUCCAAUGUUUCUGUUUUCAGGUUUUAGGUAUGUUUCAAUCCCUUUACUACUGUAUUGCUAAAAUUGUGAGAACUUUGUGUUUGUAUUUUGUUUUGAUUUAA